UGAAGUGCACAAUUACAGUCACUAGCCCCGCCACAGCUACAAGAGCCAAGAACACACUCAAGUUACAAGCAACUUACCAUCACGUAGUACAAGAAAGAAUGGAAUGAGCAUCUCCAAAUGGAGUUUUCUCUGGGUUUUGGUCGUGCCCAUCCCCAUCACGCUGCUGGGAGUGAUGAGUGUGGCUGCACUGAGCCCGGUAUUAAACGACUCCUGUGCCCGAGAGCAUGCUGCUCACUGAUGGAAUGGUUGGAGAGCAUGGCCGUGCUCCAUUCCUCCUAUUAUUACCCCCAGCACUGUGCCUCCAUGUCCUUCCAGCAUGGUUUCCUGGUUUAUGGAAUUGCAGGAUCUGCUCUUCA